CCUUGUUGGCCUCUCUGGAAUGGCAGACUCGAGCAGUUUACUGGGAACAUAAGUAACUGAUUAUUUGAUAAGUCCUCUUGGAGAUUGGGAAAAAGGAAGAGAUUCAUCAUGUAAUUGCAGGAGUUAAUUGAGGCACAUCAUAGAUGCAUUUUGUUAUUGACUUUGGUGUACCGUCACAAGCAAAACCAUCUCCCUGAUGCAAUGAGAUACAGGAUAAUUCCUGAGGACACACAAGUGCAGCUGAGUGCAAUGGAAUCUUUGCUUCUGGGACCACUGGUAGAAGUCAGCCACCCACAGCUGACCCAGCACCGUGGACCAGGACACCUGACUUACUAAUCUUCUGUGACUUUUGGGUGAGAGAAGCUGUGGCAGCAUGGCAGGGAGAGGUUGGACUGAAAGGUGAGCAGGGCUUGGAUGGCCAGCAUUGGUUUGAAAUGCCCUAACUACUGGUUUGUAUAGAUGUGUGGUUUUACAUCUGAAUUUGUCAUUGCAGCAUCCUUCUGUUAAUACCUGAAUAAGCAGGUAUUACCAAAGGAAGAUUUCUCUCAUUAGAUAUCUUAGAUAAGAUAGAUAUCCAAACAGUUCAAAUGAUUUACUAUUCAAAAUGCCAUAUGUGUUUAUGUGUUUAUAUAUUUCUACUGACAAAAAACAGGUAUGUUGGGGUGACUGGUGCACAUUUGACUAUCUGAGCUUAAACUGCUGAAGUGCUGGGUGAAAUAAAUCCUGGGUUUAGGGAGUGCUGAGCGUGUCC
rnacentral:lncRNA from 1 species